rnacentral:lncRNA from 1 species
CCGUGAAAAGCUUGGAAACAGCAGAUCCCGAAUGGAUUCUUCUUUUCUGUCUCCCUAAAUCAUCGGUGACCACCUACAGAACAAAAAAAGAAACACACAAACACAGUCGAUUUUAAUUUUUUCUUUGAUUUCAAUCUGUUUUGUUCUUUCUCUUCCAACCGUUUUGGAUCUGCUCCUCUCGGCAGAUUGUUUUUGUUUCCUCUUCUUCUAUUUCAGAUGGGCGGUGGUGGGCGUCUUCUUCUCCUCCGUUUCAGGUGGUGAAGGCAGGUCUGACGGCGGCUGUGUUGCUGCUGGUGUUCGGCGAGCCGGGCGCUGCUACUGGAGGCCGAAUGAAGGGGGGGACUGGCGUUGCGAGAGGGUGGCCGGCUUCGGUGAAGGCCUGUCGAGGCUGGCUUCGGGUUCGUCAGGUGGAGAAGCUGGGAGACUGCGGCGGAGGGGAGAAGGAGCGGCGGCUCUGUGCAGGCCGAGAGGGAAGAUGACGGGGAGAUAGGGACUGCUGGAGGCGACCGGAGGAGAAGAAACCCACGGGUCCAAGCUGGGGAAGCAGCGAUCGUCUUCAACAGGAAGCGCCGGAGCUGCGGGUUGAUUUGGGUGGAGGCGCUGCUAUUGAGAGGAGAAGAAGACGCUGCUGAGGAAGGGGGUUUCGGCUGGAUCUGCUGGUGAGGGAGAAAGGAAAGAAGAAAAAAAAAUAAUCCGAUGGGGGCUCGGGGGCUGUUUGGCCAGUUG